UACGUAGGGUGCGAGCGUUGUCCGGAAUUACUGGGCGUAAAGAGCUCGUAGGCGGUUUGUCGCGUCUGCCGUGAAAGUCCGGGGCUCAACUCCGGAUCUGCGGUGGGUACGGGCAGACUAGAGUGAUGUAGGGGAGACUGGAAUUCCUGGUGUAGCGGUGAAAUGCGCAGAUAUCAGGAGGAACACCGAUGGCGAAGGCAGGUCUCUGGGCAUUAACUGACGCUGAGGAGCGAAAGCAUGGGGAGCGAACAGG
rnacentral:rRNA from 1 species